rnacentral:rRNA from 1 species
UACGGAGGGUGCGAGCGUUGUCCGGAAUCACUGGGCGUAAAGGGCGCGUAGGCGGCGCGGAAAGUCGUCGGUGAAAGCUCGGGGCUCAACCCUGAGUCUGCCGGUGAUACUCCCGCGCUCGAGCUCACUAGAGGCAGAUGGAAUUCCUGGUGUAGCGGUGAAAUGCGUAGAUAUCAGGAGGAACACCGGUGGUGUAGACGGCUUUCUGGACCGUAACUGACGCUGAGGCACGAAAGCGUGGGGAGCAAACAGG